UGCUCAUAAACUCUCGGACAUACUCCACAAAGCUUCCAGAGCCCAGCCUCGCCCCACUGGACCAGGAUCUGAACCAGAACAAGGACAUAAACCUAAGCCAUAGGCUGGACUGCUGUGGCCAUCCAUCCACAGAUUCAGUUCUGUGGAGUCCACUGGCCCCUGGACCACCUCUGUCACCACGACAACCACAAGCACCUCCACCGCAUCCUCCAUCCACUCCCUGCAUUCCUCCGCACUACUUUCUGAGGCGCUGCCCUCUACUCCACACCUCUCUUUCCAUCUCUCUCUCUGUACACUACACCUCCGUCACCACUAGAGAGUGCUGCUGUGCUGCUCUCUGCCCUCCGCUAUGGAGAAGGUGCAGCACAUCACGCGUGCGGCCAUCCGGAGGGCGUCCACCAUGGAGGUGCCCCAGCAGGCCAAGCAGAACAUGCAGGAGCUCUUCGUCAACUUCUGCCUCAUCCUCAUCUGCCUGCUGCUCAUCUACAUCAUCGUCUUGUUAAUCUACUAGCUAGGCAAGAUUGUUGUUGUUGCUGUGGUGACCAGCAGUCUGUGCGCCAAUCUUCUGUUAUAAAGCUCCUUCCACGUCAUGUGAAGGAUCAGCAGUAUGGUGUAAACUGGCCCUCCUCUCUGCUCACUGACCACCACCCUAGCCUCUGAAACCCAGGCCAGCCAGUGCUUCACACCAAGCUCAAGAACUCCAGCGUGAGACAGGACAGCUCCUGCACAGCCUCGCUUUCUUACCAUGGAUCUAGCCAACAACCGCGGACUCAACCUGCUGCUCAACUUCCUGCUCAUCGUAGUGGUGCUGCUGCUGAUGCUUAUUCUGGUCAAGCUGAUGUGACCUGACCUGCCCAUCAAGCGUUUAAGGCUUAAUAUGGCCUGAGGCUCAUAGCGAGAGUCAUGGGGACCCUUGCUCACUCUCUCUCCCUCUGUGGUUAAGUGUCUGUCCCACUUUUUAAAUCAGAUUUAAAUGCUUUGCCAUAAGGCCGAAACCCUCAUUACAUGGCUGUGGAAGGUCAUUCAUUUGAAUAAAACUACCAUCCCAUAAAAGUGAUACAGGCAAAUAUAAAUGAUCUAUCGCUAUUCUCUAUCAUUUGUCUUUAUAAACACCAUAACAAACACUGACUCAUUCUGCUGUGGUCAGAAUCUUUAAAAAUCAGCCCUGAGAAUGACAAAGAAGAGUGUCACUGACAAUGAAUUUAGUGCUCCACCUAGUGGAUAAUCUUUCAUACUGCAUUAAGCAGCAUGAUCUAAUACAUCUAAUAAAAGAGGCAGGAUAAGUCUCUAAAAUGAGGAUUUUUCUUUAAUAGCCAGAUUUGCUGUCCCCCCAGAGGAAGAUUAAAGCUAUAAUAUAUACACGCAUCCUUUGCCAGCUAAGAGAAUUAGGGCUUCAAAAGUAGGUGACCUCUUUCUGUAAACUACACUGGUCCACAAAAUGAGUAUGCAGUAAACUGCAUAGAGAUGAAAGACCACGCUGUCAACCUCUGACCCAGCAAACACGGCUAUUCCACUUCUAUCAAAUUAAGACCACCUAAAGGUAAAGAAGAGAUGCUAACAACCUGGAGCACUUUGGUUUUAUAAAUCCUUCACAACUUCUUUUAACUAAGCGUGUUUGGUUUGUAUAUAUCUUUCUAUAUGAUGCAACUGUAAUCAAAACAUGUUAACAUAUUUGGCACAGUUACACAGUUUUACAUUUUCAAUGAACAGUGUGGUGAUUUAAAGUCAACAAGGACAGAGACACACACAUGGGGGGAUAAAACAGUAUAACAGUAAGGUUUCAUGUGAUCCAUUUAAGUAUAAGAAUAAACUGUUGAUGACAUUCGGAAACAGCACUUUUGAAGUGAUGAGUGAAAAAAGAUGCACUGUAUAGUUAUAUUGUAAUAAAAAUAAACCGCCUCCACUGACUAUUACCCCUA